GUCCCUCAAUUUUUUUCUCCUCUCAUUUUCACACUCUCUCAUCCUCUCACUAUCAAACACCGACCAUCCUAAUUUCUCACUGUUGAUCUCCGCCAAACUUAAAGCUAAGAUCGUUGUCUAGUCCUAUGGACUAUUAAUGAUUGGAGUUGCUUCUUUUUGUCGUCGGAAAAGCGAGCGUCAUAGAGAGAUAAAUAGACGCACUAUUGUCAUUCUCUCUCUAACCAAACCAUCGAUGAUUGUGAAACCAGCACUACUAGUCGACUCCCCACUCUCACUAAUGACUCAGUUUAUGCUUGACCAACUUUUUGAUCUUCAAAACAAGGUAUUGGCAAAUGGAGAAAAUAUGAAGAUAAUUCAAUUCAAUUUAUGAAGAUAAUGCAGUUUAAUUUAUGCUGCAUGGCGAGAUUCUUUGAGGUUUAUUUUUCAGCUAGAGAACUUAAUAAUCUCCUUACUGAACAAACUUCAUAUUGAUAUUUUGACAGUUAUUGAAUUAUUUUCCAAUGGGUCAUACUCAAUAAUAAUAACAUUGCAUUCUUGAGCACUCAUCAA